CCGUGGGCCGCAGCUCCCGGCUCGGUGGGCGCGAGGCCUUUGGGAGCUUUCCUAAAUGCUGAGCGCCCUUCUAAACGGCGCGUUUUUGUGGCGGCGGAGGGCAACACAACCGCGGCCCUCCGGGAGCUCCUCCCACGGCCUGCAGCGCAGCGCGGCCAGGCUCGUGGCAGGCGGGACGACCCGGGGCCGUGAGGGCGGCUGAGGCGAGACGCAGAUCUAACCGCAGCACGCGGCUGCAGGAGGGCCGGGCUCGCUCUGUGGCGGCUGAGUUUCAGCGACGGGAAGGUGGAGGAGAUGGCACGAACGCAGCUGGAGAGACACAUUGAUUUGACCAAGUCUGCAGAAACGCACCAUGGGCACAUCCUGCUCUGGUCACCCACUGCCUGAUGUCAAACCUUUGGUGGCCAACCCGGUGUAAGGAAGUUCGCUAGAGACCAGCUCCCAGUUUAUUUGAUUGUGACUAAUAGGCUAAGCCCCAUCACAGUUUGGAAUUGAGCCAAAGCCUGAAACUGAAAUUGCUGCCUACGGUGGCAUGAAGAAGAGCAUUUGCUGUGAUUCCUAUGAAGUGUGAGACAGUAACUAAUUACUGGAGAAGAUGAGAUACAGCUCUGUGAUUCUCUGGAAUAUCUGCUAAGCCUCAGGACAGUUUGUAUAUGUUUGAGACCCUCCUUGCAAAGAGAAGAUAAACACAACGAAAGGCAGCAAGCAAGCAAGCAAGCAGCAGCUCUGAGUAGUAACCGGUCUCAGAGUUAACCCAGAACCUGGUAAAUAAAGCUGCAGACAGUUAAUAAAUUGGACGAAUAAAGCCUAGAAAUAAUAUUUUACAGUAGGAUUGGUUCAUCUAGAGGGUACCUGGUGAACUUAUAGGAAACGUGUGGAGAGAGGUAAAAAAGACACUAAAUUACCUUCAGCUCUUUAAAUUAUUUCUACAGAUCCCAUUGCAGGAGAGAAGGGAGAAAUGGCUGCAGAACAAAUCAUAUGAAUUCCUGUAUCUAACAGUCUGACAGUCCCUUAAAAAAAAAAGGGAGAGAGAAAAUGUAAGCAUGUGGGGGAAGCAAUAAAAGACACAUUCAUGUCCCAUCCAUCACCACAUCAUCUUCAGAUGCACGCAAAUAUUGCUCAGCAGUGCAGAGGACAGGUGAGGAUUACUGCAGCCCUGCACCAGGGCACCCCAGCAGAGUUGGCAGCAACCUCGGCCGGCCAGGGCCAGGUGGGUGUGCAGGUGCUGCUCCUGUAUGCUGAUUGAUUUUUGUUUGAGCACAAAGAUUUCUAAGUCCUGAGCUACAACAUCUCCUCAUUGUCUCAUCUGGUUGAUCUGCUAUUGCAGAGACUGGCUUAGUAAGAACCCUCGCUGCAGACAUACUGUGUGGAGGCAAGCACUGGUAACCAAGAGCAGGGCCUAGGUGUGCACAUAAUGUCCUCAGAACUAAUUGCUUUGGCAAAUGAAUCAGAGCUUGGGGACCCUCCUCCUGCUUCUUAUCACUGGUGAGUUGAGUGGCAGCACCUGGCACUCCUCUGCACACCUGGACCUGUGAUGAGUGGCCAGCAAGACCCCCUGCAGUGUGAGUGGGCACUGCAUGCAAUUAACAUAAGCUGCAGACCUAAAUGAGGGUGCUUGAAAAUGAACACAUUCUUAGGAGUCAGUAGCUGUUACCUGGGCUUAGUCACAGGAAUGAGAACAGCUUGAGCAGCAGCUGGUCUGAUGUGACGAUUCUGAGUACUGAGACUGGGCUGCAUACUGUUGCAGUCAGCACACUAGCCUCAAAGUGUACAGGAGGACAGUGCAUGUGCCUAAACUGUUGGCUAAUACACAUCUACCCUGACCCAGAAGCAUCCAAUUAUUGUAUUUCAAUCCAAAAAUACCAGACAUGAAUAUUCAGCCACUGUGGGUUCAAAGCUACCUGCAGGACAUCAUUGUCCUCUGGAAAGCCAUGGCCAUGGCCAAGAAAUGCAAAGGCACUGUGAUAGCAGCCAGAAAAAGGAUCCUCUCUGUACACCAGUUCUUCCAGCACCUGCAUUUCCAGUCAGGACCUGUGCAUAUCUCCAGAUUGUACUGGUGCCUCACUGUAAAAAUUUUUAUGAGAGUGAUUUACAGCUCCUUGGAAUUAUAUUGCUUCUCAAUGUCGUGUCCUGCUUCACAGGACACUGAUGCUCCUGCCUUGUUCCUACGGUGAUCUCUCAGGUCUUCAGCUGUAUGUCCAGUGCAAUAGACAAAGUGAUCCACCUUCACCUGCAUCUCUCACACUCGCAUGCUCAUGCAAUUGCCUUUGGAAAAUAAUUACAGCGCAGAAGCGGAUCCUGUUAGAUUAAGACAAAUUAAGAAUCUAAUAUAUAGGUUUGCUGUCAGGUUGCCAGGGUCAGGGGUCGAUACAGUAUAUUGCAAUGAGGCUAUAGGUUACCUCUGCCCCAAUAUUUUAUCAUAAUAAACCAAAUGGGGAUGAAACACCCAGCAGUAGCCCAUAAAUCUAUUAGCUGCGAACUGUCAAUGUCCCAUAUACCAGGGUAAUUUGUUAAUUCAGAGCUGGGUCUCUUUUUUCACUAGACCUUGUAAACUCCUUUCUGAAACAUCAAUAAACCAUCUGCUUUGACUUGUUAAUCAAACGACUUUAUUCAGUCCAAAGCAAUUUUUUCCUAAUAAAAACAGAGUAUUUAUCUCCAUGGCUAUAAAAGAGGAUUGUUUUCAACUGUUCACUUAUAGUUAAGAAGCACAUUUAGUUUGGAUUGAUUUCCAAUGCUUCGGUCAUAUCUUGUCACUUCCCAUCUCUUACACACAGCAUCUCAGUUUAGCUCCUCAGCAGGGAAAGCACAACCUGACCCAGUGCUGCAAGUGGCACUAGAGGAACAUGAGCAAGCAGCAAAAAAGGUCAUGGAAAUCAAACUUUAAAAAGCUAAACACUCAUGGCAGCCCAUAGUGAUUGCUAUCCACAGUGCUCCUUGUCCCCUCUGGCUUUUGGGUUGCCCCUAGCUUUCUCCUAGUCUCCAAGCAGACUUUCUUGUGACUGUACCCCUCUGGGCAGUGAUGUUUUCAUCUCCCCAAUUAGCCCAGGCCCUUUUGGUGCCAUUCUUGCCAGCAAAAACGGGGUGAGAGUCCCUAUGGCCACAACCCUGCAGGGGCCAAUGGGGAGCAGUGCUGCACAAGGGCAGAGGUUGGUGCUGGUCUCUUUGUACCACACUGACAGCAGAUCCAGGAGCACUGACUGUUCAACUGCGGACAGCACUCAUAUAUGAAUUCACCCCUUCAUUCUCCUCUCUCAGAAGAGUGGGCGUAGGUGGAAUCCAUUAGGACACUGUUACUGAAGCAUGCAAUUCCCCCAUGCAGCUCAGAGGGGGAGAUAAUGGGCAGAAGACCUGGGAAUGGGGAGAGGAUGCAUCAGGGAAGGAGGAACGUGUGAGAUUGUUCUCUCCUCCAGCAGUGUCACAGCUGCAGCACUCGCUGAGGCAUUCACAGCCCUCUGGCACGACGCUGCAGUCAGAGCCACUCACACAGCCCUGGGCCCCCUGCAGAGGUGCUCCUUCUAUGUCACGUCCUUGAGCCCUCCCAGGCCUUGCUUAUAGUUCUGGAAGCCUUUGCACAGCUCUUAGAGGCCACCAUAACUCAAAAAGAAGGUGUUUUGCAGAUUGCUCUUCUCUUUGUGCUCGGCAAAGUGAGAUGUCCCUGUCCUCAUCCCACUCUCUGUGCCACCUGCUCACCCAUCUGCCAGUCGUGCUCCACUCCACACCAGGUCAGUGCCAGGAGUGGAGGAGGCCGGGGAGCACCCGGAGGCUCCUUGUGGCCACAACAGAGCCCUUCCUCACCACCAGCCCCAUCCUGUCUGCGUGGCACCAGCAGCAUCCCGCUCUUCUUGUAAGGGCUGCUGCACACAGGAGCUGCAUGCAGCUCAGGGAAGCAAGGGCUUCCUUGGGCAGAAAACAUGCAUAUUUGCAGAUGAUUUUCAGAGUUUUCAUAUUUUCUGGUAUUCUGUGUCCAGCAAGUCCCACGGAAGGGCCUCAUGGUGCUCCACCGCUCUUGCUGAGGAGCUCUGCACUCCCUGCAGCUGUCCUCUCCCGGCAGCUUUGAGGAACCGGUGGAAGCCCCUGCCCAAUCCAUCCUGAGCCUAACCAGAGCCGCCUGUCAAGUACCUUCCGCUGCAGACUGAGGAGUCCCAGAUCCUCCUAAUGCUCCCCAAGAGCAUCUCGCGCUGAGCGCAGAGGUGGUUUUUGUGAGUGAAGCUCUGAGCAGCACUGCUCUGGGUGCAGGCCCUCCACCAGUGUUGGUGCAGCUUCAUCCCCUCGCCCAGCCAAGCAGUGCCGUCUCGAGGCCUCAGGUCUGAUCCUGGGGCGGUAAGCAGCCCCGACUGCAUGCUGCGAAAACCGCAGCCACCUCAGCACAGCUCCGCUCCUUCCUGUGCCACCGAGCGCGCAAGGACUGUCCCCUUGAGGCUCCUAGGCCGCUGUGUUCUGCUGUGGGCUCAGCCACUGCCACGGCCCCCAUGCAAUACAGUGAGCCCCCGUGCCACAGCCCUCGGAGCCCUGUGUGCCCCCACAUGUGGCUGUGGGUCAACACCCGUGGGGGCAAAGCCGGGAGCCAUGUAGGCGUCACCCGGUGCUGCUGGGAGCACGCAGGCUGCAGCCAUGGCCAACUUGCCCAGGGUGGGGGUGGCUGCAGCGCUGGGUCCCUGCGGUGCUGGGGGGUUUGCAGCAGCCACGUGCUCUCCUCAGAAUGUGCAAAUCAGGAGCCCCCCAGCCCGGAGCGGAGCAACCCGUAGGGGGAAGGGGCAGAGAAACAAAGUUAUUUAUAUAAUGUGUCUCCCUGCUGAGCCCCUAAUGGCUGGCGCUUUUGUUCUGCAGUGGCUGGCUGGCUGUGAUGGGCAGGAAGCCGCAGACUCCCUUUGUUCCGCGGCCUUAUUCAGCAAUUUAGAUCCAUCAUAAAAAUCAAAUAUGCAUGUUGCAAUCGCCUGGCAUACAACAGCUUCAAUUUUCGCCUUUCUUUAAUUUGAACUCCACGGGAGAAAGAGGCAGGGCCAGGGAGCAAGGGGUAGCAGGAGCAGCACUUUGUGUUUUUGUUCAGCAGACUGUGAAAACAGGGAGUAAUGAAAAUGCAGAAUUUUUAUCUUUUCCUUGUUACUUAAAAAAAUAUGCAGAAAUCUUUAAUAAAGCUCUUCAUUAGGAGGACAGCCUGAGCGGGGAGCGACCUGGACGGCCCCAUCCCAGUGCAAUGCACAGCCUGGAGGCUGCGUCACCAUGGCUGGGCUGGCCAUGAGCUGCCAGGGCAUGCACCAUGGUUCCUAUUUGCGGGGCCACUUUCUCCUUCCAGAAUGCCGAUACUUUUCUGUCCAUUCUGAUUUGACUUUGGUCUCCCUCUGACCCAAAGUGCCCACUCUGCAGCCAGGAGGGCGCAACGGUGCAGGUGCUGUGGCUGCAGCAGGUUUGUUUUUCUCCUUGCACAUCCAGCACCACAGGGAAAGGAAGGCGGUGACACUUGCAUAUGUGCAGUGCCAUGAAGAUGAGAGAUGAAGACCGAACCAGCUGAAGGUCAGUAAACACUAACAACUGCCCAGCCUCUGAAUCAAAAUGCUGUCCAGCGGUGCUGUGGGUUGGCUCUGGUGGCUCAGGGACCAGGUGCAGGAGGGGCUGAGCUCUGUGUACAUGCCCAUGUCUGCCUGAGCACGUGUGCGCCCAGCUGGGCCGGCAGUGGCUGGCAGAGAACCUCCUCCUUCAUGCUGAGAAAAGGCCCUUUUUUGCUGUGACAAUUCAAUAUAAUUGAAAGUUUGCUUAGGAAAGAGAGUCUUUUUAACUGAACAUGCUCACAGUUGAAUCGAUAUGAAUUAUACGGCACAGAAGAUGCCUAGGGUAUUAAAACAUUAAUUAAGUAACAUCAUGCUACCAUCUAACCAACAGCACAAUACCAUUUAUAGGUACCACUCUCUUUUCUCUGGGGCACAGUGUGAAGCCUCUUCCAUCACCACUGAGGCUGCGGGAGACCCACAGCUCCAUCGGUUGCAGCCCCUCCGCCGCCUCCCCGGGGGCACGGCUGCGCACAGCACGGCGCUGGCUGCUGUGGGUAGGUGAGGACAGCCUUGGGUAAUGCAGCCCGGAGCUGAGCUGUGUGCUGGGGCUGGGAUGGUGGCAGCGCCCGGCUCUGAACUGCCCCUGCAGAGCGCAGCCGUCUCUGGAUUAACUCACCGCAUCAGCCCAAGGAACUAAUGCACCGAUUCUGCAAUAUACCAAAAUAGAAAGUCAUUGGAGUGAAAUCAGUGUCUUCACCACAUCCCCUCUGGCAGAGCGUUAAUUAAAAUGACUCUCUAGUGCUUUAGAUCAUCAGGUGUACAUUGUUAACGAGCUUGGAGGGGAGAAUGGGAUCCAUAUUUGUAGUUUAAGUACUGAUGGAGUUAACCCUUCACCACUGCUGGCACAGCCCGCGCCUGGUGGCAGUUUCUCAGAGCAUCCAUCUGCAUUAGACAAGGCAGCUUUCUUAGAGGACUUCAGAUGCCAUUUAGCAAAGGUGUUAACAUAAGGCCCUACUCAGUUCAGCAGCUGCAUCUGCUGCUCUCAGGAGAGGGCUGGUAUCCCUCCAGGCCUGGUGGGCUCCUGCUGCACUCCUGGGCACACGGCAGCCCACAGUGCACAGCAGAACUUCCGCAUGGCCUCACUGGCAGCUGGUAGCAGGCGAGACUUGGGGGAUCUUUUGGCUUUGCCUUAGUCCCUGGGAUCAACCUCUUCGUGUCCAAGACUCCUUCACAAACACAGCUCCUCUUUGGUUCCUGCACCUGGUGCCAGUCCUGUGCCCGGGCUGCUGGGGGUUCAUGCAUGAGAUUCAGCUCCAUGGCAGAGCCCACGUGGGAUCCCCUGGGGAAAACCAGAGGUGAAAGCAGGGACACAGGAGGCGUCACUGUGCACCAGAUGGCCCUGUGCUGGGCCGUGAUGUGGGGACUGCGUAGGCCACCUCUGCAGCGCAGUGAGCCCUGCACAGAGCCUCUCUUCUGCGUGAACAACAGCAAAGCACCAAUUUUGGGAGAGUGAAGAGGUGUCCUGCAGGUGGCAGCUGCUGAAAGCCUGUCUGCAACAUCGUUGUCUUCAGUGGCCCAGCGAUCACUGCUUCGUUUCUUCUCCGAGUCUCCUCCUUGCCUUUUAGGUGAUGGCAGUGAAAGGUUAUUUGAAAAAUCACUCCCGCUCUCCUCUUAACAGAAUCGCCGCAUGGAAAAACCUUUUUGUUUGUGUCAGAGGUUUGCACAAUUUCAGCUGUUGCACUGCUCUAAGCUGAUCAGCACUCACAGCGGUUUUAGUUUGCAGUUAACAGAAGCCAUUUACACCUUUCUGAGCAUUAGAGAGGUGCUUCCUCAAGUGUAGCUGUUUUAAACUGGAAUUCAACCCAGGAAUAAAUAUCAGUUUUACAUAAUAAACUUACAAAGCUGCAGGUCUGCGAACGACAAUGAAGUCAUUAACACGGCACAGUGCAAACACCCACACUGGUGACCCCGUUCCUGCUGCAGUCCCAUCCUUCUGUAGAAGCUGCAGAGUGGAUUUUUCAAUUAAUGAUAAGGCACGAAUCAGCUGAGGCAAUCCAGAUCCCCACCUGCACAGGCUCAGGGCAGAGAGGAAACACAACGCCUGUGCCUGGGAUGGGAGGAGGGGGCUGGGGGGGGUCCUGCAGAUGGAGAGUGAGGAGGAACUGCUCACCACUCUCUGCACUGUUCUGUUGGCAGCCAAAUGCCUGGGCUCAGCACCAUCAGCAGAGAGGUGCUCCGUGCCUGGUGACAGACAGCAGUGAGCACAGCCUUUGGGCAUUUCUUUAUCAAGAGACAAACCUUCUCUUCUCUAAAUGUAUUUAGUUUUGUCCAGAUUUGUGCACCUGUCUGCACCCAUGAGCUCCCUUUUCUGCCUCUUGUCCCAGCCCCCAGCAUGUGUCUGUGUCCAUCCCAGGCAGCACUCAGCCUCAGCCACACUGCUCCCACGUACUCACCGAUGUGCAGAAGCCCCUUCCUGCUGUCUGCACGGCUGCAUGCCGUGCCAGUCCCUAACGGCGCAGAAGGCAGAUGUCCAACUUCGGACUUGGGGAAAAAAUCUGGAUUUGGUGUGAUCUGUGAAGAGCAGUGCAGGGCAGAAGGUGCUGAGCACGGUCCCUCUGUGGGCAUGGGCACUGUCCCGCUGGGAGCUGCCCAUCCUGGAGGAGCCAUGUCUUGUGUCUGGUUGCAUCUAAAGCUGCAGUGCAGUAUUUCUGGCUUGCGCUGGAACAUUUAAAAUGGUGUCUGACUGAUGUCAGCCAUUAAAGUUAUUGAUAACAAUUUCCAGUUGUCCUGGAAAAAUCUGUCAUGUUUCAACAUGAAAAUGACAUUAAAAAACAUCCUCCUCCUGACAACCCCCAAAAAAACAACUAUAAAGCUGACAAAUGCGCACCCUCUGUAACUGAACUGUCUCAUGGAGGGGAUGCAUGAUGGUGGUGGGUAGACUGCACCUCCUGAAAUGUCACUGCUCCAUGUACCAGAAAAAACAGGCCAUCCUCAAAAAGCCCCAUGCACCUAGUGGUGGAAAACAGAGCCAAGCUCUUUUGGAAAUCUCUGGGAAGGAAACUGUUCAACAAGGAAAAACGCACAAUCAAUGCUGAGCCAUUACAUUGCUGCAUGAGCCCACCAAGCUGCCCUUUGCACAGCUGGGGAGCCUUUGUUGAUGUCUUUGGGUGCACCUGCUUUCGCUGCCUCGAUGGCUGCAGGAGGAUCCCCUCCUCGGCCCAGUCUGGGGCCGGGUUUGGGUGACUUCAUUGGCACCAGGAAUCAUCAGGAGUCAAUUUCAACUUGCUUUACUCCGUAAUUCAUGCACUGUUGGAGCCUGAAUCCAUACAACUGUUAGUCUUUUUUUUGGCAUGAAUGUGCUUCAGCAACCCUAUAGUAGGCCUCACUGGCUGGCAAGACGACGUUCUGACCGCACGCCCUGCAGAGUGCCCUCCUGUCCCUGUGGGCUGAGCCCUGAUCUGUGUGCUGGGCUCUAUUUCCCCGCAGAUCAAGGAGGCCCCUUGCAGCCCAUCCAAGGACACGCGCACGAAAUGGAGUUCCCAUCCCACCUGCAUUUUUCUUACAUUAUUCAUUGCUGUAGUUAUAAAUUAGAGAUGAAUGGUAGCCCCCAGGGCUCUCUGUUGGAUGUGGUCCUUAUUGACAAAUUUCAAGUGUCGUCUGCUGCAAGAGGCAAUUUUUGGCAAGGAAACUGCAGAUUUAACAGUCACAGUUUGAUGUGUUCCUCCCUGCCAGCAAAAGGAUGAGCAGGGAAUCAGCUACUCACCUGCCUUACCUUUGCCACCUUUUGCUUUCAUAGCGGAAGGAAACAGCUGGCGACUCUAGUUCACUUCUAGCUUACAGGUUUCAAGAUGACCCCUACUCAUUAAGGCAUCGCGC